rnacentral:rRNA from 1 species
AUUGAACGCUGGCGGCAGGCUUAACACAUGCAAGUCGAGCGAGUGGCGGACGGGUGAGUAAUGUCUGGGACACUGCCUGAUGGAGGGGGAUACCUACUGGAAACGGUAGCUAAUACCGCCUACCAUUGCCUGUGCCCAGUUGGGAUUAGCUUGUGGGUGGGGUAAUGGCUCACCAAGGCGACGAUCCCUAGCUGGGCUGAGAGGAUGACCAGCCACACUGGAACUGAGACACGGUCCAGACUCCUACGGGAGGCAGCAGUGGGGAAUAUUGGACAAUGGGGGCAAGCCGGAUGCAGCCAUGCCGCGUGUAUGAAGAAGGCCUUCGGGUUGUAAAGCACUUUCGGCAGGGAGGCGGUACCGGCAGAAGAAGCACCGGCUAACUCCGUGCCAGCAGCCGCGGUAAUAC